rnacentral:rRNA from 1 species
UACGUAGGGUGCGAGCGUUGUCCGGAAUUAUUGGGCGUAAAGGGCCCGUAGGCGGUGUGUCACGUCGGCCGUGAAAACCUGCAGCUUAACUGUGGGCGUGCGGUCGAUACGGGCAUCACUGGAGUUCGGCAGGGGAGACUGGAAUUCCUGGUGUAGCGGUGAAAUGCGCAGAUAUCAGGAGGAACACCGGUGGCGAAGGCGGGUCUCUGGGCCGAUACUGACGCUGAGGAGCGAAAGCGUGGGGAGCGAACAGG